CCUACGGGGGGCUGCAGUGAGGAAUAUUGGUCAAUGGACGAGAGUCUGACUCAGCCAAGUAGCGUGAAGGAUGACUGCCCUAUGGGUUGUAAACUUCUUUUAUAAAGGAAUAAAACGAGGCACGUGUGCCUUUUUGCAUGUACUUUAUGUAUCAGGAUCGGCAAAGUCGGUGCCAGCAGCCGCGGUAAUACGGAGGAUACGAGCGUUAUCCGGAUUUAUUGGGUUUAAAGGGAGCGUAGAUGGGUUGUUAAGUCAGUUGUGAAAGUUUGCGGCUCAACCGGAAAAUGGCAAUUGAUACUGGCAGUCUUGAGUACAGUUGAGGUAGGCGGAAUUCGUGGUAUAGCGGUGAAAUGCUUAGAUAUCACGAAGAACCCCGAUUGCGAAGGCGGCUUACUAAACUGUGACUGACAUUGAUGCUCGAAAGUGUGGGUAUCAAACAGGAUUAGAUACCCGAGUAGUC
rnacentral:rRNA from 1 species